AUAUCUUGCCAGCAUAAUAGUGCUCGGUAAAGAGCGUAAAAGGGAAUUCCGUGUAAAUCGGAAACGGGCCCGCCGCUGUAACCGGGGACGAAAACCGCAGCAUGUCACUGUCCACCACAAAGGAUGGGAAGGCGCGGCCAGUAGAAUGAUCCGGAAGUCAGAAGACCUGCCUGAAGUUGUUGUCAUGC
rnacentral:ncRNA from 2 species